GAAUGGAUGGGAGCUUGCUCCCUGAAGUUAGCGGCGGACGGGUGAGUAACACGUGGGCAACCUGCCUGUAAGACUGGGAUAACUUCGGGAAACCGGAGCUAAUACCGGAUACGUUCUUUCCUCGCAUGAGGAAAGAUGGAAAGACGGUUUCGGCUGUCACUUACAGAUGGGCCCGCGGCGCAUUAGCUAGUUGGUGAGGUAAUGGCUCACCAAGGCCACGAUGCGUAGCCGACCUGAGAGGGUGAUCGGCCACACUGGGACUGAGACACGGCCCAGACUCCUACGGGAGGCAGCAGUAGGGAAUCUUCCGCAAUGGACGAAAGUCUGACGGAGCAACGCCGCGUGAGCGAAGAAGGCCUUCGGGUCGUAAAGCUCUGUUGUUAGGGAAGAACAAGUGCCAGAGUAACUGCUGGCACCUUGACGGUACCUAACCAGAAAGCCACGGCUAACUACGUGCCAGCAGCCGCGGUAAUACGUAGGUGGCAAGCGUUGUCCGGAAUUAUUGGGCGUAAAGCGCGCGCAGGUGGUUCCUUAAGUCUGAUGUGAAAGCCCACGGCUCAACCGUGGAGGGUCAUUGGAAACUGGGGGACUUGAGUGCAGAAGAGGAAAGUGGAAUUCCAAGUGUAGCGGUGAAAUGCGUAGAGAUUUGGAGGAACACCAGUGGCGAAGGCGACUUUCUGGUCUGUAACUGACACUGAGGCGCGAAAGCGUGGGGAGCGAACAGGAUUAGAUACCCUGGUAGUCCACGCCGUAAACGAUGAGUGCUAAGUGUUAGA
rnacentral:rRNA from 1 species